rnacentral:rRNA from 1 species
UACGUAGGUGGCAAGCGUUGUCCGGAUUUACUGGGCGUAAAGGAUGCGUAGGCGGAUACUUAAGUCAGAUGUGAAAAUCCCGAGCUUAACUUGGGAACUGCAUUUGAAACUGGGUAUCUAGAGUGCGGGAGAGGUAAGUGGAAUUCCUAGUGUAGCGGUGAAAUGCGUAGAGAUUAGGAGGAACACCGGUGGCGAAGGCGGGUCUCUGGGCCGAUACUGACGCUGAGGAGCGAAAGCGUGGGGAGCGAACAGG